UACGGAGGGUGCAAGCGUUAUCCGGAUUCACUGGGUUUAAAGGGAGCGUAGGUGGGCUGGUAAGUCAGUGGUGAAAUCUCCGGGCUUAACUCGGAAACUGCCGUUGAUACUAUCAGUCUUGAAUAUUGUGGAGGUAAGCGGAAUAUGUCAUGUAGCGGUGAAAUGCUUAGAUAUGACAUGGAACACCGAUAGCGAAGGCAGCUUGCUACACAAUUAUUGACACUGAGGCUCGAAAGCGUGGGGAUCAAACAGG
rnacentral:rRNA from 1 species